rnacentral:rRNA from 1 species
GACAGAGGGUGCAAACGUUGUUCGGAAUUACUGGGCGUAAAGCGUGUGUAGGCGGCCGCGUAAGUCGGAUGUGAAAGCCCUGGGCUCAACCCAGGAAGUGCACUCGAUACUGCGCGGCUAGAGUACUGGAGAGGUUGGUGGAAUUCUCGGUGUAGAGGUGAAAUUCGUAGAUAUCGAGAGGAACACCGGUGGCGAAGGCGGCCAACUGGACAGAUACUGACGCUGAGACACGAAAGCGUGGGGAGCAAACAGG